rnacentral:rRNA from 1 species
AAGUCGAGCGGCAGCGCGGGGCAACCUGGCGGCGAGCGGCGAACGGGUGAGUAAUGUAUCGGAACGUGUCCUGAGAUGGGGGAUAGCCCGGUGAAAACCGGAUUAAUACCGCAUACGAUCGAGAGAUGAAAGUGGGGGACCGCAAGGCCUCACGUCUUAGGAGCGGCCGAUAUCAGAUUAGCUAGUUGGUGAGGUAAAGGCUCACCAAGGCUCCGAUCUGUAGCUGGUCUGAGAGGAUGAUCAGCCACACUGGGACUGAGACACGGCCCAGACUCCUACGGGAGGCAGCAGUGGGGAAUUUUGGACAAUGGGGGCAACCCUGAUCCAGCCAUUCCGCGUGAGUGAAGAAGGCCUUCGGGUUGUAAAGCUCUUUUGUCCGGGAAGAAACGGUUUCACCUAAUACGUGAGACUACUGACGGUACCGGAAGAAUAAGGACCGGCUAACUACGUGCCAGCAGCCGCGGUAAUACGUAGGGUCCAAGCGUUAAUCGGAAUUACUGGGCGUAAAGCGUGCGCAGGCGGUUUUAUAAGCCAGAUGUGAAAUCCCCGGGCUUAACCUGGGAAUGGCAUUUGGGACUGUAAGGCUAGAGUACGGCAGAGGGGACUAGAAUUCCUGGUGUAGCAGUGAAAUGCGUAGAUAUCAGGAGGAAUACCGAUGGCGAAGGCAGGUCCCUGGGUCGAUACUGACGCUCAUGCACGA